GUUGAAACACUAAUUCAAGUACGAUCAACGAAAUUAAGCAAGGUUGAGCCUGGUUAGUACCUGGACGGGUGACCGCUUGGGAAUACCAGGUGCUGUAA